rnacentral:lncRNA from 1 species
CUCCUGCCCAGGACCCGAGGAGCCGGCCACCGUUCAGAAGGCCCCAGCUUGAAGGCCUGGAGAGCCGCCCAGCAGCACAACACAGGGAAGCUUGGGGAGGUUUAAUUUAACCUGAGAAGGCUGCAGAUCCUCGGGGUUGGUGUAAAAACACCUCAUCCUGAUCUGAGAAGGCGGUCAGCUUUUCUCCUCGUUGCCGUUGGCUGCCAGCACCCAUUCUCUGUGGAUGUGAAAAUCCCAGAAGGGCUGGGCUUCCUUCUUGGGCAUUCCCCAGGCCUAUCUCCAGAGUGGGGCCCAGCAUGGGAGGAUUGUACCCCACUCACUCCCCUGAUGUGGGGCUUGGACCUACAGCUCGACAGCACCCAUGGAAUGUGGGCAGAAGCGACAGCAGCCAGCUCCGCCUUGGCCUUAGGGCGGCACGUGUUCUGCUUGUGCCCUGGGAGCCUCCACCUUCCACACUGUGGGAAGAGGGUGCCCAGGGAGCUGCAGUCUCUCCAGCCCAGCCCCAGGACGAGGCCCAGGCAGCAGAGCCACCCCAGCAGACCUGGCAGUGUGAGAGAAAUGCAUGUGUAUACACUGAGUUUGCAGGUGGCUGUUACAUGGCAGCAUUGACUGACACAGACAGAAAAGAGAUCCACGAGGGAGAAGUGAGAGUGCUGGAGACUCCACAAGCCACAGGCUGCAGGGGCAGGAUGGCUUCUUAGAAGGUGAAAUGAUUGUUCUGGGAAUCUAUCAGAGGAAGACAUAGAGGCUCCAGACGGUUGAAGGCCCAACAGUGAUCCCAGACGGGCCCCAUGUCAGACCAGGCUCCUCCAGGGCUGUGCUGCCCUCACCAAAGCCCGUCCUGAGGGCAGCCACACAGCAGGCAGCACUCGCCAUUUGUACAAGCGAGGCCCAAGU